AACGAACGCUGGCGGCAGGCUUAACACAUGCAAGUCGAGCGCCCCGCAAGGGGAGCGGCAGACGGGUGAGUAACGCGUGGGAACGUACCUUUUGGCUCGGAACAACUCCGGGAAACUGGAGCUAAUACCGGAUAAGCCCUAACGGGGAAAGAUUUAUCGCCGAAAGAUCGGCCCGCGUCUGAUUAGCUAGUUGGUGAGGUAACGGCUCACCAAGGCGACGAUCAGUAGCUGGUCUGAGAGGAUGAUCAGCCACACUGGGACUGAGACACGGCCCAGACUCCUACGGGAGGCAGCAGUGGGGAAUAUUGGACAAUGGGCGCAAGCCUGAUCCAGCCAUGCCGCGUGAGUGAUGAAGGCCUUAGGGUUGUAAAGCUCUUUUGUCCGGGAAGGUAAUGACUGUACCGGAAGAAUAAGCCCCGGCUAACUUCGUG
rnacentral:rRNA from 1 species